rnacentral:rRNA from 1 species
UACAGAGGCCACGAGCGUUAGGCGGAAUCACUGGGCUUAAAGCGUGUGUAGGUGGAUGGCUAAGUACCUUGUGAAAUCCCACGGCUCAACCGUGGAAACUGCUCGGUAUACUGGUCGUCUUUGAGGCACUCAGGGGCGAGCGGAACAGAUGGUGGAGCGGUGAAAUGCGUAGAUAUCAUCUGGAACGCCAAUGGUGAAGACAGCUCGCUGGGGGGUGUACUGACACUGAGACACGAAA